GAUGAACGCUGGCGGCGUGCCUAAUACAUGCAAGUCGAGCGAACGGACGAGAAGCUUGCUUUUCUGAUGUUAGCGGCGGACGGGUGAGUAACACGUGGAUAACCUACCUAUAAGACUGGGAUAACUUCGGGAAACCGGAGCUAAUACCGGAUAAUAUUUUGAACCGCAUGGUUCAAAAGUGAAAGACGGUCUUGCUGUCACUUAUAGAUGGAUCCGCGCUGCAUUAGCUAGUUGGUAAGGUAACGGCUUACCAAGGCAACGAUGCAUAGCCGACCUGAGAGGGUGAUCGGCCACACUGGAACUGAGACACGGUCCAGACUCCUACGGGAGGCAGCAGUAGGGAAUCUUCCGCAAUGGGCGAAAGCCUGACGGAGCAACGCCGCGUGAGUGAUGAAGGUCUUCGGAUCGUAAAACUCUGUUAUUAGGGAAGAACAUAUGUGUAAGUAACUGUGCACAUCUUGACGGUACCUAAUCAGAAAGCCACGGCUAACUACGUGCCAGCAGCCGCGGUAAUACGUAGGUGGCAAGCGUUAUCCGGAAUUAUUGGGCGUAAAGCGCGCGUAGGCGGUUUUUUAAGUCUGAUGUGAAAGCCCACGGCUCAACCCGUGGAGGGUCAUUGGAAACUGGAAAACUUGAGUGCAGAAGAGGAAAGUGGAAUUCCAUGUGUAGCGGUGAAAUGCGCAGAGAUAUGGAGGAACACCAGUGGCGAAGGCGACUUUCUGGUCUGUAACUGACGCUGAUGUGCGAAAGCGUGGGGAUCAAACAGGAUUAGAUACCCUGGUAGUCCACGCCGUAAACGAUGAGUGCUAAGUGUUAGGGGGUUUCCGCCCCUUAGUGCUGCAGCUAACGCAUUAAGCACUCCGCCUGGGGAGUACGACCGCAAGGUUGAAACUCAAAGGAAUUGACGGGGACCCGCACAAGCGGUGGAGCAUGUGGUUUAAUUCGAAGCAACGCGAAGAACCUUACCAAAUCUUGACAUCCUUUGACAACUCUAGAGAUAGAGCCUUCCCCUUCGGGGGACAAAGUGACAGGUGGUGCAUGGUUGUCGUCAGCUCGUGUCGUGAGAUGUUGGGUUAAGUCCCGCAACGAGCGCAACCCUUAAGCUUAGUUGCCAUCAUUAAGUUGGGCACUCUAAGUUGACUGCCGGUGACAAACCGGAGGAAGGUGGGGAUGACGUCAAAUCAUCAUGCCCCUUAUGAUUUGGGCUACACACGUGCUACAAUGGACAAUACAAAGGGCAGCGAAACCGCGAGGUCAAGCAAAUCCCAUAAAGUUGUUCUCAGUUCGGAUUGUAGUCUGCAACUCGACUACAUGAAGCUGGAAUCGCUAGUAAUCGUAGAUCAGCAUGCUACGGUGAAUACGUUCCCGGGUCU
rnacentral:rRNA from 1 species